UAGCCUAGUGGUUCAGGCUAUGGAUCGCCAAUCCGAAGACGGCGGGUUCGAUUCCCGU
rnacentral:tRNA from 1 species